GAGUUUGAUCUUGGCUCAGAGUGAACGCUGGCGGUAGGCCUAACACAUGCAAGUCGAACGGCAGCACAGAGGAGCUUGCUCCUUGGGUGGCGAGUGGCGGACGGGUGAGGAAUACAUCGGAAUCUACUCUGUCGUGGGGGAUAACGUAGGGAAACUUACGCUAAUACCGCAUACGACCUACGGGUGAAAGCAGGGGAUCUUCGGACCUUGCGCGAUUGAAUGAGCCGAUGUCGGAUUAGCUAGUUGGCGGGGUAAAGGCCCACCAAGGCGACGAUCCGUAGCUGGUCUGAGAGGAUGAUCAGCCACACUGGAACUGAGACACGGUCCAGACUCCUACGGGAGGCAGCAGUGGGGAAUAUUGGACAAUGGGCGCAAGCCUGAUCCAGCCAUACCGCGUGGGUG
rnacentral:rRNA from 1 species